rnacentral:rRNA from 1 species
AUACGUAGGGAGCGAGCGUUGUCCGGAAUUACUGGGCGUAAAGGGCGCGUAGGCGGCGCUUCAAGUCGUCUGUCAAAUGUGAGGGCUUAACCCUUUUUCGCAGACGAAACUGGAGAGCUUGAGAAGCAGAGAGGCAAACAGAAUUCCUGGUGUAGCGGUGAAAUGCGUAGAUAUCAGGAAGAAUACCAGUGGCGAAGGCGGUUUGCUGGCUGCAUACUGACGCUGAAGCGCGAAAGCCAGGGGAGCAAACGGGAUUAGAUACCCCGGUAGUCCUGGCAGUAAACGAUGUAUGCUGGGUGUGAGACUAGCGAUAGUUUCGUGCCGAAGUUAACGCGAUAAGCAUACCGCCUGGGGAGUACGGUCGCAAGAUUGAAACUCAAAUGAAUUGACGGGG